GACGUAGGGCGCGAGCGUUUGUCCGGAUUUAUUGGGCGUAAAGGGCUCGUAGGCGGCCAACUAAGUCAGUCGUGAAAUCCCUCAGCUUAACUGGGGAACUGCGUCUGAUACUGGAUGGCUUGGAUUCGGGAGAGGAAUGCGGAAUUCCAGGUGUAGCGGUGAAAUGCGUAGAUAUCUGGAGGAACACCGGUGGCGAAGGCGGCAUUCUGGACCGACAUUGACGCUGAGGAGCGAAAGCCAGGGAGCAAACGGG
rnacentral:rRNA from 1 species